UACGUAGGUGUCAAGCGUUGUCCGGAUUUAUUGGGCGUAAAGCGCCCGCAGGCGGCUUGCUAAGUUCGAUGUGAAAUCUCCCGGCUCAACUGGGAGGGUGCAUCGAAAACUGGCGGGCUUGAGUAUGGCAGAGGGGGGUGGAAUUCCGCGUGUAGCAGUGAAAUGCGUAGAGAUGCGGAGGAACACCGAUGGCGAAGGCAGCCCCCUGGGCCAAUACUGACGCUCAGGCACGAAAGCGUGGGGAGCAAACAGG
rnacentral:rRNA from 1 species